AGCAGUAGCCGCGGUAAUACGGAGGAUCCGAGCGUUAUCCGGAAUUAUUGGGUUUAAAGGGUGCGUAGGCGGAUAGAUAAGUCAGUGGUGAAAGACGGUGGCUCAACCAUCGCAGUGCCGUUGAUACUGUUUAUCUUGAAUAUGGAUGAGGUAGGCGGAAUGUGGCAAGUAGCGGUGAAAUGCAUAGAUAUGCCACAGAACACCGAUUGCGAAGGCAGCUUACCAAGGCAAAAUUGACGCUGAGGCACGAAAGCGUGGGGAUCGAACAGGAUUAGAUACCCCCGUAGUCCCUGUCUCUUAUAA
rnacentral:rRNA from 1 species